AACGUUUAUGCCAGCGGUCAACUACUAGGAAGCUACAUUUUUGACAUCUGUGUUUAAUGUUCAUCUAACAGCACGGGUCGGUGAAGAAGUGAUGUUUGAUGAUCUGCCACGUGAUGCUGAGAGCGUCAAGCAUUUAACAAACACCGGCUCGAUAGAUGUGUGGAGGAGAGAGCAGGGUGUCCUGACUGAUCGACUGACUGACAAUGAUGGUCACCUGAUCAUUAAAAACUUCAGAUCAAGUGACGCUGGAACAUACAGAGUCCUGGACUCAACAGGAGAGUCCUGGUCACCGUGACGCUCACAGAAUGGGGUACAGAAUCAAAGGACAAACAGGACAGCACACGUGAUGACAAAACUGAAAGCACUAAAAGAGUUUAUUUUUGUACUUGGAUUGUGAUUGGUGUUGUGGGGACUCUGAUUGCAUUUAUUGUCAUGA